UCAAUAUAGGACUAAAGCAGUGUGGAAGGAGAACUAGAGAUAUAGAGGAAAGAUAGGAAAGAGCGAGAGAGAGAGGGAUAAUGGGAAUUCACAGGUAAGGAAAUGCUUAAUUUAAAUAAGAAUUAAUAUACAAAUAAUAUAUAGUGAUGGAAGUUAAAUAGUUUUAAAGGCUAAUUUUGACAGGCUGUGAUAUUUGUGAAGGGAAGGAGGCCAGGAAAAAGCUGAAGGUUUGUCCAUCUAAUUCUCCUCUCUCUAACAGACAGACAAAACAGUAACUCCUUUUAAUAUAAAUAUUAUGGAUUUACUAGCUAUACAGUAUAUUUAUCUCUUACUUGAGAGUCCACCAUCCUCUGAGAAGAUCUUCUGUUAAUUUAAAUGCCACAAAAUAAAAUAGUGAAAGAAAAGUUUUUACUAUGUUAUAGUUUUAUCUCAAAAUAUGAAGUCCAAUAAUUUACAUAUAUUGCGUAUUAUUGAUAAAAUAUAGAAUCCUAAGUCUUUGAAAGUAGAUUCUGAAUAUUAUGUGUAGAUAAGUUUCUUAUAAGCAGGGGUAUGCAAUAAUUGGUUGUGUCGAUAUAAUAUAUAUAACACUGAUCAGAAGAUCAAGAGGAUUUGGACAAAUGAUGAAGCCCAAAAAAUUGAUUUCUUUAGCCAAUAUAUUCCAGACAAGCCCUCACUGGACAUGAUCAAGAUAUGCAUGUAACCAUAUAAACUAAAAUAAACAAUUAAAAUAUUAUAAUAACAACCAAUUGAAGACAAAGCUUCUAUCUUUUUUCUGCAACAAUACAAUGUCGUUUUGUUUUCUGUAUUAUGUCUAGAAAUUCAGAUGAUUCCUUUUUCUAUAUAUUCUUUUAGGGUCCCUUUUCUUAUAUCAAUACAAAUAAAAACGUAUAUAUUCUCCACCAUCAUCAUCCGUACUGGGUAUUAUCCAACCAUACCCAAAAAAUCCCAUGAUUAUCAUUUUUUAUCUGACACCAUGCAAGUUUAAUGAGAUAGAUCCUCUUAUAGUAUAUCACUUGUUAGAUUUUUUACAAAUGAAAUAAUAACUUUUCCAUUUUCUUUUACCUGUCUUGAGUUUUUUUUUUUAUAAAAAAAAACUAGCUUACGUAAUGAAUACUUUUUUAAACAUUAGUGAAUACUUUCUUACAAAACAAAAGAAGAAGAAUAUUAUCUUGUAUAUAUUUCAUGGAAAUAAAAUUAUAUGGUUGAUGUUUUCGGAGCUUCUAUCAAACUUAGAUUCAUAUAACUUUGUCGCGGUCAUUACUCCAGUGACUAAAUGCAUAUAGGCUGAAGUUGAACGACCUAACUUCCUAAUGAAAUUCAUAACGAAAACGCAUAUAGUUUUUAUUUCAGUUAAGACAAUUUAAAGUCUGAUGACGUUAUUAAAAUUUAAAUUGGUGACAGACUGACAGAUAACACCGAUCACGUUUAGGGUGGUGAAAUUUUUUCUGAAAGAGUCUAUAUAUAAUAAUGUAACUAUAUUAUUUCUUGGAGAUGAUUGGGAAAAAUUAUGACCGAUCGAUAACCUAUGAACUCCUAGAUUAUCAAAUAAUGAUGAUCUAAACUAAUUAUAGAUUGAGUUUAUGUAAACUUAUGUAAAAUGAUUAUUGCUUUUGUUUUAAAAUCCAUGGCCAAUGACAAAUGAGGGAUCAUAAUUAACAAACCCUAGAAAUAGAAAAUUAAGUUUCAUCAUAAGAUUCCAAGUUAAACAACCCCUUAAAGGAAUUUUUUUUGUCAGCACAUGAUUUUAGUGGCAUUUAAAGUUUAGUAUAAUUAAAUAUUUUUUAUUUGGCUUGUCUUCUACUUGUUUCGUUUUCUUCUCUCAAAGAAAUCUCGUCCUAACAUGGGGAUUCGCAAACGCACCGACUGAUUGAAAUAAUAUUUGAAUUAAAAUAGUUAACAUAUCAUAAUAUUAAUGAUUAUUACUUCAUUAUUUUAUUGAUAACUUAGCUAUAUAUAAUUGUAUUUGACUUAUCAAUAAUGUUGUUAUCUUAUAAUUUUUAUAUACAUGUGUGUAUAAUUAACCAGUGUAAAGUGUAUAUACAUAAAAAGCUAUCUUGAUUAAAAGCUCUUCUAACUAUAGAAUAUGGCAUAUAAAUUUAUCAUAAACUACCAAAGACUUUGAAACAAAACAAUAAUUUAUCAACGCGUUUAAUUUUGUCUCAAGUUCAUCAAUUUGUAACGAUGCUAAAAUGUUUUCUGCUGAUUUUCUAGUCGAUAACAAUCGGAUAAGUGAGAUUUUAAAUACUAUAUUAUAUUUUAUUUGGAGUUCAUAGAUCUAACCAAUCUUUCAAGUUUCAACUAAGUGCCGGUGCAUUAAGAAACACAUCUCAUCGUGGUUUGCUAUUACCAUCCUUGAAUCCAGAUCCCAAAAUGAUUACUGUAUUUCAGUAUUAAAAAAUCAACAAUUUUAAAAACCAUAUUGAUGUGCGGUUAUUAUUUAAUUCCAGGAUUUUGUAAUAGAAAAAUCAAAUGAUUCCAUCCGCAGAUGCAUGCGUAUGUUAUUAAAUAUUUUAAUUGUAAUAAACGAAUUAAUGUGAUUGUAGAGAAAAAGAGCUGGCUGGAUGAGGCGGAGCCGCGGAGCCAUGUGAGAAGAGAAGCAGGGAGGAAACUCGAAGGAUUUUUAUAUAAAGUAAAAUAAAAAUAAUUAAUUAUAUUAUAUUCUAAACCCAAACCAAACAUGAUAUCAAGUACAAUACUUAACAGUAACUAGAGACACGAUAAUUGCUUUAAUUGGCUUAAAUAAAAUCAGAUUUGUUUAGAGUUCCAAAGUUUGAAUCUGCAGGUCAACAUCU
rnacentral:lncRNA from 1 species